rnacentral:rRNA from 1 species
UACGUAGGUGGCAAGCGUUGUCCGGAAUUACUGGGCGUAAAGCGCGCGCAGGUGGUCUUUCAAGUCAGUGGUGAAAGCCCGGAGCUCAACUCCGGAAAUGCCAUUGAAACUGUAAGACUUGAGGAUGAGAGAGGUGAGUGGAAUUCCCAGUGUAGAGGUGAAAUUCGUAGAUAUUGGGAAGAACACCAGUGGCGAAGGCGGCUCACUGGCUCAUAUCUGACGCUCAGGCGCGACAGCGUGGGGAUAAAACAGG